rnacentral:rRNA from 1 species
AUUGAACGCUGGCGGCAGGCCUAACACAUUCAAGUCGAGCGGAGCGUCGGACGGGUGAGUAAUUCCUAGGUAUCUGCCUGGUAGUGUGGGAUAACGUCCGGAAACGUGCGCUAAUUCCGCAUGCUGUCAGAUGAGCCUAGGGCGGAUUUGCUAGUGGGGGGGGUAAAGGCCUACCAAGGCGACGAUCCGUAACUGGUCUGAGAUGAUGAUCAUUCACACUGGAACUGAGACACGUGCCAGAAUCCUACGGGAGGCAGCAGUGGGGAAUAUUGGACAAUGGUCGAAAGCCUGAUCCAGCCAUGCCGGGUGUGUGAAGAAGGUCUUCGGAUUGUAAAGCACUGUAAGUUGGGAGGCGUUACCAACAGAAUAAGCACCGGCUAACUUCGUGCCAGCAGCCGCGGUAAUUC